rnacentral:rRNA from 1 species
UAAGACGAAGGUGGCUAGCGUUAUUCGGAUUUACUGGGCAUAAAGCGCGCGUAGGCGGCUUGGUUAGUCGGAGGUGAAAGCCCGCAGCUUAACUGCGGAACUGCCCCCGAAACUGCCAAGCUUGAGUGCAGGAGGGGUGACCGGAACUCCAGGUGUAGCGGUGAAAUGCGUAGAUAUCUGGAGGAACACCGGAGGCGAAGGCGGGUCACUGGACUGCAACUGACGCUGAGGUGCGAAAGCUAGGGGAGCGAACAGGAUUAGAUACCCUGGUAGUCCUAGCUGUAAACGAUGGGUACUGGGCAAUGGCCGUCCGAUGCGGUCAUUGUCGAAGCUAAUGUGCUAAGUACCCCGCCUGGGGAGUACGGCCGCAAGGUUG